UAUGGCUGCCAUCGCGAGGCCUUUAAUUAGUGACAAGUGAUUCGGAAGGGUGUUUUUCAUUUUCAGUGUUAAAGGGAUCGAGUAUAAUUUGUUAAAAUUCAUAAUAUAGGCCCUUAUGGGCCUCGAUAUUCAGUUGGAGGAACGUGCGAAAAUUUGAAACCGAUGUACGAGCUCGAUCGUCGGCAAAACCCUCGAGGGACUUUCCGAUAGUAUUUGCCUUGACAGUUGGAGAAACCUCCUCGUGAUUGCGAAACCGCAAGGCAAGCGGAUUGUUUCGGAUGCUGCUGACAACGAGGCACACAUCCCGGUACGGUCACGAGGAAAACCUCGAAAUUUAUUAACUUGUAAGGUAAGCGAACUUCGUACGCUUAAGUUGCGAUCGAUAGACUGUAAGCAGCGAUAAAUUGGUCGAUUAAUCGGAACAUGGUAUGA